AUAUAUUUUUUUUUACAGCAACAGAGAAGCAGAAGCACCUUGGUGCCAGAUUCAACAGAUCAGGAGUGGACCUAAAUCGUGCAUCAUUGACAUUGCCAAAGAAAAUUAAAAAGCCUUCUCCUGACACAAUUAGUUUGAUUGACAGUACAAGUUCAAUGGAAUCCCUGAGCACAGCUGGUCUGUUGGGAUCAAAGCAAUUGUCAAGUUCACUAUUAAAUAUCAACGAAGGUGGAGAAUUUGCAGAACUCAAGAAAAGCAGCAGUAUUUCAUCCCUCGACAGUGCCUUUACAGAAGAGUACAUUGUAGAUGGAAAUCCAGAAAAGAUAAAAAAACACGCCAAGAUGAAACGGGAGAAAGAGAAGAGAAAAAAAUCACAAUCCAAAGACAGCAUGUCUCGAAUUAUUAGUUCUUUAAGAUUCUGAGAGGACAAUGUCAGAGGAUCUGCAAGGUUCACAAUCAACUCUUAACAGGAAAGGACUGUUUGGAAAAUGGCGCUCUAGAUAUAACACAAAGAGCUCAACGAGAUCCUCACCAAAAAUGAGUCCUAUUGCCACUCCAAGAAAAUAUUCAACUCCCACAUGAGAAUAAUAUUCUCUACAAUGAAAUUAAAAUUGUCACUAGUAAUAAGAUUAUGAAACUCCAACAGGUGGGAUACACUUGAAACUGAAGGAGCUGGGUUGUAGAAGUUUUUUUUAAAAAAAAUUCCAAGGUGCACUUUGCUUGGAGAUGGUUUGGAAAAUCUAAAUAAUCCGGCAUCAUUCAGACUGUGUUCUCCAGAAUUUUUUUCAAGGGCGCAACAGGAAAUUUUUAGGCACGGUUCAGAUAUAAAUAGCAUGUAUAUCAAUAACAAAUGCCUUGGUACAAAUAAAUGUUGUUGUGCAAACAACUUUUCGUCAUCACAGUAACAAAAUUUAUCCACAUUGAGCCCUUUUUUUGGCAGAUAUACCGUUUAUCUCAAAAGCGUGCCAAAAAUUUUCUGCAGGGUAAAUGAACCUUACUAAUCUUUCUACAAAAAUUCUCUUUAUCCAGGCAGUUUUAUAUAAGGGCUUAUUUAUAUUUAAAUGUUUAUCAGACACUUAAAGGUUACAGUUGCUAUACCUUGUUCUUGGGCAAUUUAUUGGAGCAAAUUGUUUUUCGUUCAUAUGUCUAGCCAACAAGAAAUUAGCAAAUACUAACAUCCAAUAUUUCAAGUUUCUCCAGUCGUACCAUCAAAAGUUUUGCCAAUUCAGCAUGUUGUUCAUGCCGCAUUUAUUGCACGUUCUUAUCCCAUGUUGUACUUUGCCUUCGCUAUCAUUAUAUCCUGUCUGGCCACGGCAGAACCACUCUUGAAAAUUCCGUUCCAUUUUUGCAAUUAUUAUGUCCGUACCAGGUAUGCGUGUAUGGAAAGAAAUAUAAUAAUUAAACAGAAAUGAAUUGUACAGCAAGGACAGCAUUAAAAAAUUGUUGACUAAAUUAAUAAUUAUUGGUUUCAGGCUGGAGGCAUGUGCAUAAAAAGCAAAUCCAAUUAGGAUCUUUGAGCCAAGUCAUGUUAAGAUGAAAAUUCUGCAGUAUCUGCAUAUUAUUUUUUGUGAUUUUCAUUCAUUUGAACCAUUUAGGAGUUAGUUAAUUUGACUUAUAUGGGUAACAAAUUUCUAGAGGUAUGGAUUAUUUUAUAGUUCUCAAAAUAUAUUAAGUCUUGUCCCUUUAGUUUGUAUUUCCUCACAUGAUUAUCUUUUCUUGAAUGACUGGUGACUCGUGAAAAAGAAAACACAGGAUACAUACUGUAUUAUUUAUUGAGUUUGUUUUUGUUUUUGUUUUUGUUUUUCAUUUCCUUCCUUGGCAUUGUGGAGCCUUGUUUUCAUGUCAAGGAAAUCCCAGAUGCUUCCAAUGUUUCUGAUUUAUUACCAGCUGUUCCAGACAACUAAGGAUAUGGUUUCAUCCUGUUUUCACAAGUCAGUAAUUAUGUCUGGGUUUAUCUUGAAAUAUCAACAUCCUUGAUCAUUGAGAAUUUUCUUAAAAUGAAAACAUGACAUCAGUCAUAAAUCCUCAUUUUUAAAUGAUUACUGUGAUUGGUGAAGUGCUUUUCUUCAAAAUUGUAUUAUUAUUAUCAUUAUUAUUAUUAUUAUUAUUAUUAUUGUUGGGCUUCUUGUUUGUACGUUCUUAAAAUCUCAGAAACAGUUCAAUGAUCCACAACCUGCUUUUGAGUGUCAUUCUGUGUUUUAAUAUCAGUACUUCACUUCUGUAUACUUGAAAUUUGAAGUAAUAAUCAUUAUGGCAAUUAACACUGCACUGAGGAGUUUUUCUGGGGAAAUUAUCUUUUUUAAGCAGAGGAAGGAAUGGGGGUAUCAAGACUUGAACAGGGCUAGCUUUUGUGCAGUAAUGUUCCAUGAAGUGAUGCCAUUUUGCUAGUACAGGUAAAAAUACUUAGCAUACUUUCCAUCACUUAGCAUAUUAUCAAAUUAAGUUUGAAUGUUUACUUAACCCGCUGAUAUGUAAAUGUAUAAGUGAAGAUGAGCUGUUAUUAGCCAAGAUCUUUUUUUGUGCAUUAUGAAGAGAAUCUCCGUCAAGGUCCAUAACCAUGCGAAAGAAAAAAGGUUGAGGACAACAUCUACCCAUCUUGAUCAAAUAAGCUUGGUCGAUAACGGAUUUAUUAUUAUGACAUACUACCCUGUGAGCAGAGUGUCUUUCAAGAGGAAGGAUUUGCAAUUUUUCUAGGAAGAUCGAAGGGCGCUGCUUGCAGGGUAAUGACAUAUAGGUCACCACUUUCUUGCGAGAUACAGCAGUAAUCUGGAGUGGGCAUGAUAGCUGUCUUGCCUGCUUGGGCCAGCUAGUUCAGGAUUAAGUUUAUCUUGCCCAUUUGCAGAGUUAACCAUAUAAUAAGUAUUGUUACCAAGCAAGAUUGUUGACAGUAUUCUAUUUUUGCAGAGAUCUUCUAUUUUAAGCCUGUACAUAAUCGAAUGAGGAUUUCCUAGAUUAUAGUUAUUAUUAUAUUAGGUUAUGACCUGUUCAGCCAAAGAAAUUGUUUAUAGUAGCUUUAAUGAGUAAUUAAUUAGGGUUAUGAAUUCAAUAAAAGGUUUCAAAGCUA